GGGGAGGUAGCGCAGAGGUCGACGCAUCCUCUUGCGAAGAGGAAGGACGCCGGUUCGAAUCCGGUCCACCCCG
rnacentral:tRNA from 1 species